UACGAGUGCUUCGAGCGUUAUCCGGAAUCAUUGGGCGUAAAGGGUGUGUAGGCGGCUGUGUUAGUCUCGUGUAAAAUUCUUCGGCUCAACCGAGGGCUCGCACGGGAAACGGCACGGCUUAGAGGACGGAAGAGGUCACUGGAACUCAUGGUGUAGCGGUGAAAUGCGUUGAUAUCAUGGGGAACACCAAAAGCGAAGGCAAGUGACUGGUCCGCUCCUGACGCUGAAACACGAAAGCGUGGGUCGCGAAUGGG
rnacentral:rRNA from 1 species